rnacentral:rRNA from 1 species
UACGGGGGGAGCAAGCGUUGUUCGGAUUUACUGGGCGUAAAGAGCUCGUAGGCGGUCUGUCGCGUCGGCUGUGAAAACCCGGGGCUCAACCCCGGGCCUGCAGUCGAUACGGGCAGACUAGAGUGCGGUAGGGGAGACUGGAAUUCCUGGUGUAGCGGUGAAAUGCGCAGAUAUCAGGAGGAACACCGGUGGCGAAGGCGGGUCUCUGGGCCGUAACUGACGCUGAGGAGCGAAAGCGUGGGGAGCGAACAGG